rnacentral:rRNA from 1 species
CCUACGGGAGGCUGCAGUGGGGAAUUUUGGACAAUGGGCGCAAGCCUGAUCCAGCCAUGCCGCGUGAGUGAAGAAGGCCUUCGGGUUGUAAAGCUCUUUCGGCGGGGAAGAAAUUGCACGGGUUAAUACCCUGUGUAGAUGACGGUACCCGAAUAAGAAGCACCGGCUAACUACGUGCCAGCAGCCGCGGUAAUACGUAGGGUGCGAGCGUUAAUCGGAAUUACUGGGCGUAAAGCGUGCGCAGGCGGUUUGGUAAGUCAGAUGUGAAAUCCCCGGGCUCAACCUGGGAACUGCAUUUGAGACUGCCAGGCUGGAGUUUGGCAGAGGGGGGUGGAAUUCCACGUGUAGCAGUGAAAUGCGUAGAGAUGUGGAGGAACACCGAUGGCGAAGGCAGCCCCCUGGGCCAAUACUGACGCUCAUGCACGAAAGCGUGGGGAGCAAACAGGAUUAGAUACCCCUGUAGUC